GACGGAGGGUGCUAGCGUUGUUCGGAAUUACUGGGCGUAAAGGGCGCGUAGGCGGCUUUGUUAGUCGGGUGUGAAAGCCCGGGGCUCAACCCCGGAACGGCACCCGAUACUCCGAGGCUCGAGACCGGGAGAGGAGGGUGGAAUACCCAGUGUAGAGGUGAAAUUCGUAGAUAUUGGGUGGAACACCGGUGGCGAAAGCGGCUCUCUGGCCCGGUUCUGACGCUGAGGCGCGAAAGCGUGGGGAGCAAACAGG
rnacentral:rRNA from 1 species